ACUAUUUAACGUCUAUAAUGUCACAGUUGUUUGUAGCAUAGCAUUUUCGUAUUAGCGACCUGUUCGGAAUAGCUAGCUUCUAAUGUUAGCGCUUUAAGUAAAGCCAUGUAGAGUUAAAUAAGACAGUGCCUUGUGUUUGUUCAACGGUCUCUGACACAACCCAAGCCAGGACGUCUGUUUUCACGACGACAACGAGGGACUGGGGUUGUUUGAGAAGUCCAACCGUGUGGAAAGGAAGAUGUUGCAGUUGCUAGCUUAGCUAGCUUUGCUUCGGACAACGAACUAACGAACGACCGUCCCGGUGCAUUGGAUGCAAGCUCACACGAGGAUAAAGGAACUGGAGGUGCUUGUGUUGACAUGACAUCAAUGAAGGUAAUUCGUCUCACCAAGUCCUCCCCUCGGAAAUGUCUGACUUGGUGUC